rnacentral:rRNA from 1 species
AUUGAACGCUGGCGGCAUGCCUUACACAUGCAAGUCGAACGGCAGCACGGGAGCAAUCCUGGUGGCGAGUGGCGAACGGGUGAGUAAUAUAUCGGAACGUGCCCAGUCGUGGGGGAUAACGUAGCGAAAGCUACGCUAAUACCGCAUACGAUCUAUGGAUGAAAGCGGGGGAUCGCAAGACCUCGCGCGAUUGGAGCGGCCGAUAUCAGAUUAGGUAGUUGGUGAGGUAAAGGCUCACCAAGCCGACGAUCUGUAGCUGGUCUGAGAGGACGACCAGCCACACUGGGACUGAGACACGGCCCAGACUCCUACGGGAGGCAGCAGUGGGGAAUUUUGGACAAUGGGCGCAAGCCUGAUCCAGCAAUGCCGCGUGCAGGAUGAAGGCCUUCGGGUUGUAAACUGCUUUUGUACGGAACGAAACGGCGAGCUCUAAUACAGUUUGCUAAUGACGGUACCGUAAGAAUAAGCACCGGCUAACUACGUGCCAGCCGCCGCGGUAAAAC